GACGAACGCUGGCGGCGUGCUUAACACAUGCAAGUCGAACGGAAAGGCCCUGCUCUUGUGGGGUGCUCGAGUGGCGAACGGGUGAGUAACACGUGAGUAACCUGCCCCUGACUUUGGGAUAACUUCAGGAAACUGGGGCUAAUACCGGAUAGGAGCUCCUGCUGCAUGGUGGGGGUUGGAAAGUUUCGGCGGUUGGGGAUGGACUGGCGGCUUAUCAGCUUGUUGGUGGGGUAGUGGCUUACCAAGGCUUUGACGGGUAGCCGGCCUGGGAGGGUGACCGGCCACAUUGGGACUGAGAUACGGCGCAGACUCCUACGGGAGGCAGCAGUGGGGAGUAUUGCGCAGUGGGCGGAAGCCUGAUGCAGCGGCGCCGCGUGCGGGAUGACGGCCUUCGGGUUGUAAACCGCUUUCGCCUGUGACGAAGCGUGAGUGACGGUAAUGGGUAAAGAAGCACCGGCUAACUACGUG
rnacentral:rRNA from 1 species